rnacentral:rRNA from 1 species
UCUCCCCGAAAGCUAUUUAGGUAGCGCCUCGUGAAUUCAUCUCCGGGGGUAGAGCACUGUUUCGGCAAGGGGGUCAUCCCGACUUACCAACCCGAUGCAAACUGCGAAUACCGGAGAAUGUUAUCACGGGAGACACACGGCGGGUGCUAACGUCCGUCGUGAAGAGGGAAACAACCCAGACCGCCAGCUAAGGUCCCAAAGUCAUGGUUAAGUGGGAAACGAUGUGGGAAGGCCCAGACAGCCAGGAUGUUGGCUUAGAAGCAGCCAUCAUUUAAAGAAAGCGUAAUAGCUCACUGGUCGAGUCGGCCUGCGCGGAAGAUGUAACGGGGCUAAACCAUGCACCGAAGCUGCGGCAGCGACACUGUGUGUUGUUGGGUAGGGGAGCGUUCUGUAAGCCUGUGAAGGUGUGCUGUGAGGCAUGCUGGAGGUAUCAGAAGUGCGAAUGCUGACAUAAGUAACGAUAAAGCGGGUGAAAAGCCCGCUCGCCGGAAGACCAAGGGUUCCUGUCCAACGUUAAUCGGGGCAGGGUGAGUCGACCCCUAAGGCGAGGCCGAAAGGCGUAGUCGAUGGGAAACAGGUUAAUAUUCCUGUACUUGGUGUUACUGCGAAGGGGGGACGGAGAAGGCUAUGUUGGCCGGGCGACGGUUGUCCCGGUUUAAGCGUGUAGGCUGGUUUUCCAGGCAAAUCCGGAAAAUCAAGGCUGAGGCGUGAUGACGAGGCACUACGGUGCUGAAGCAACAAAUGCCCUGCUUCCAGGAAAAGCCUCUAAGCAUCAGGUAACAUCAAAUCGUACCCCAAACCGACACAGGUGGUCAGGUAGAGAAUACCAAGGCGCUUGAGAGAACUCGGGUGAAGGAACUAGGCAAAAUGGUGCCGUAACUUCGGGAGAAGGCACGCUGAUAUGUAGGUGAAGCGACUUGCUCGUGGAGCUGAAAUCAGUCGAAGAUACCAGCUGGCUGCAACUGUUUAUUAAAAACACAGCACUGUGCAAACACGAAAGUGGACGUAUACGGUGUGACGCCUGCCCGGUGCCGGAAGGUUAAUUGAUGGGGUCAGCGCAAGCGAAGCUCUUGAUCGAAGCCCCGGUAAACGGCGGCCGUAACUAUAACGGUCCUAAGGUAGCGAAAUUCCUUGUCGGGUAAGUUCCGACCUGCACGAAUGGCGUAAUGAUGGCCAGGCUGUCUCCACCCGAGACUCAGUGAAAUUGAACUCGCUGUGAAGAUGCAGUGUACCCGCGGCAAGACGGAAAGACCCCGUGAACCUUUACUAUAGCUUGACACUGAACAUUGAGCCUUGAUG